rnacentral:rRNA from 1 species
GAUGAACGCUGACAGAAUGCUUAACACAUGCAAGUCAACUGUGGCGGACGGGUGAGUAACGCGUAAAGUACUUGCCUCACAGAUAGGGAAAACAUUUGGAAACGAAUGCUAAUACCUGAUACUGUGAGAGAGCUUUGCGUCCCAUUAGCUAGUUGGAGAGGUAACGGCUCACCAAGGCGAUGAUGGGUAGCCGGCCUGGGAGGGUGAUCGGCCACAAGGGGACUGGGACACGGCCCUUACUCCUACGGGGGGCAGCAGUGGGGAAUAUUGGACAAUGGACCAAAGUCUGAUCCAGCAAUUCGGUGUGCACGAUGAAGUUUUCGGAAUGUAAAGUGCGUUCAGGUGGGAAGCGGUACCAACAGAAGAAGGGACGGCUAAAUACGUGCCAGCAGCCGCGGUAAUAC